CUUCAACAGUAAGUGAACGUAUCACUAAAUCCCAUCUUUCCUAUAUACAGUGGCAUAAAGCAUUUGCUGUGAUGGAUGACUAACACAGAUGUUCUUCUUUUCCUCAGUAAAAGUGUUGCAAUCAGGGACUUAACGCGUGUACCCUGAAACCCUGCAGCACACAUUCCUCUGAGCAGUGAUGAAAGAAACUAGCCUGGAUGCCAACCGAACUUAGCCGCAGCCACAACAUUUGAACUCAUAUUUUGACUAGAAUCUGAGUAUGACGACGUCAAGAUAGAAAGAAACCUAUGGCGACCACAGAACUCCCUGAACCAGUUCGUGAUGCUGUAAUCUAUUAAACAGGUCAGUUUUCUUUGGCAGAAAAGAUAUUGAGUGUCUGUCAAAUCGAGUAGGUUACAACAGCAUACGGCAGACUUAAAAAUCUCAGCUC